rnacentral:tRNA from 1 species
GGCAACAUGGCCGAGUGGUCUAAGGCGCCAGAAUUAGGUUCUUCCCAAAUCUGGUCCGAAAGGGCGUGAGUUCGAACCUCACUGUUGUCA